GCCAAGGUGGUUCUGGAUUCUGGUGUGGCAUGUUUGGCCAGCUGGGUGCCGGUCGCUCGCCACCAGCGGGGAGUCCCUCUGGGGGCUUGCAGUUCUCAGUGUGAAGCUAUGCUUGAGUUAGUGAAUAUCUUCCCCUCCCUCAAGUAUGAGCUGCGCCUUCUUCUCCGACCACCACGCUUGAACAGGCCCUCCCUGGCUUGGGAUGGACUCCCUGACAUGGAAGUAGUGGCCGGCGCGGCUCCAAUCCAUUCGCCACGAGGUCAUCCUUGUCCACUGUAAAACCACAUUUGUGAAGAGGCAUCUCAUUGGAGAAUUCGAGAAGAAAUACAAACGCAUGUGAAGAGGCCUCUCAGUGAACUGAAUUUCUCAUUCGCC